rnacentral:rRNA from 1 species
GUGCCAGCCGCUGCGGUAAUACGUAGGGUGCGAGCGUUGUCCGGAAUUAUUGGGCGUAAAGAGCUCGUAGGCGGCUUGUCGCGUCGGAUGUGAAAGCCCGGGGCUUAACUCCGGGUCUGCAUUCGAUACGGGCAGGCUAGAGUUCGGUAGGGGAGAUCGGAAUUCCUGGGUGUAGCGGUGAAAUGCGCAGAUAUCAGGAGGAACACCGGUGGCGAAGGCGGAUCUCUGGGCCGAUACUGACGCUGAGGAGCGAAAGCGUGGGGAGCGAACAGGAUUAGAUACCCUGGUAGUCCACGCCGUAACGUUGGAACUAGGUGUGGCGACAUUCCACGUUGUCCGUGCCGCAGCUAACGCAUUAACGUUCCCCGCCUGGGAGUACGGCCGCAAGG